GAUCAUUUAACCCUAGAACGAUUCUUAAUCAUUGAUCAACCAUCCGAUCGGAUCAUGAACUCUAAUGUGUGUGACCUCAUAGGUCCGAACCUAAACUGGUAGUACAAGAAUAAAUUUUUGUACCAAUCGAAGUGACCAUCUAGCAAUGGUACCCGACGACCAGAUAGGUCGAAUGUGUAGAACAACAUCCUUAGAACCCAUGCGGAUAUAGUUUUCAUAUAAUUCAUCCCCUUGACCAAAAUGAUCAUAGGACACCCCAGAGUUCAACUAUCAACUCUGAUCAGGUUGUCCACAUUGUAUUUCAAAAUAUCAAAUCCAUCUGAUGGAUUACCCUGGCCAAGGUUUUGCUAAAUUGAAAUACAGCGACUCAUUCUUCUCCAACUCUUGGAGUGGUCAAUCCCAUCUCGAUCACACUCUGACUUCACAAGUACUUGACUGUGCCCAGAAGCCUUCCGUUUCUGAAUU
rnacentral:lncRNA from 1 species